GGGGAUGAUCGGCUUCGACAAGGUGAAUCCUCUUAUAUAUGCAUGUAAAGUACUCAGGAAUCUUUUAAAACUUCUUGGAAAAGACUAAGUGCAAACAAAGUCGCUUCAGUAAAAUCACCUUAUGCUUUUGCAUUCGGUCAUUUUGCUCCCGCAUACGCCUAAUUAGGCCUAGCGGGUGUCUGCUCUUUUGACAUCAGAUGUAAAGAGUGGGCAUAAUUUAUCUGGUUAAGAUUUUACAACCGCUUGAUGUAAAAUCCGACAAUUAAAAGCUCGUUAUUUAUCUUUCUUGUAUGUCCUCUAGGAUAAAUAGUUAAACACAAUGGACACACUAAACAUGUAGACUUCUAUAAGAGUUCUCUUUGCACGCGGGUUCGAUUCCCGCCAUCUCCACAU
rnacentral:tmRNA from 1 species